UGGGGAAUUUUGGACAAUGGGGGAAACCCUGAUCCAGCCACCCCGCGUGUGCGAUGAAGGCCUUCGGGUUGUAAAGCACUUUUGGCAGGAAAGAAACGUCGCGGGUUAAUACCCCGCGAAACUGACGGUACCUGCAGAAUAAGCACCGGCUAACUACGUGCCAGCAGCCGCGGUAAUACGUAGGGUGCAAGCGUUAAUCGGAAUUACUGGGCGUAAAGCGUGCGCAGGCGGUUCGGAAAGAAAGAUGUGAAAUCCCAGAGCUUAACUUUGGAACUGCAUUUUUUAACUACCGGGCUAGAGUGUGUCAGAGGGAGGUGGAAUUCCGCGUGUAGCAGUGAAAUGCGUAGAUAUGCGGAGGAACACCGAUGGCGAAGGCAGCCUCCUGGGAUAACACUGACGCUCAUGCACGAAAGCAUGGGGAGCAAACAGGAUUAGAUACCCUGGUAGUCCACGCCCUAAACGAUGUCAACUAGCUGUUGGGGGCCUUCGGGCCUUGGUAGCGCAGCUAACGCGUGAAGUUGACCGCCUGGGGGAGUACGGUCGCAAGAUUAAAACUUAAAUGAA
rnacentral:rRNA from 1 species